CUGCAGCUGGAUCAUUU
rnacentral:rRNA from 1 species